ACGAACGCUGGCGGCGUGCUUAACACAUGCAAGUCGAACGGAAAGGCCCCCUUGUGGGGUACUCGAGUGGCGAACGGGUGAGUAACACGUGAGUAACCUACCCUUGACUUUGGGAUAACUUCAGGAAACUGGGGCUAAUACCGGAUAGGAGCUCCUGCUGCAUGGUGGGGGUUGGAAAGUUUUGGCGGUUGGGGAUGGACUCGCGGCUUAUCAGCUUGUUGGUGGGGUAGUGGCUCACCAAGGCUUUGACGGGUAGCCGGCCUGAGAGGGUGACCGGCCACAUUGGGACUGAGAUACGGCCCAGACUCCUACGGGAGGCAGCAGUGGGGAAUAUUGCACAAUGGGCGGAAGCCUGAUGCAGCAACGCCGCGUGCGGGAUGACGGCCUUCGGGUUGUAAACCGCUUUCGCCUGUGACGAAGCGUGAGUGACGGUAAUGGGUAAAGAAGCACCGGCUAACUACGUG
rnacentral:rRNA from 1 species